rnacentral:rRNA from 1 species
GGAAUCUUCGGCAAUGGACGAAAGUCUGACCGAGCAACGCCGCGUGAGUGAUGAAGGUUUUCGGAUCGUAAAGCUCUGUUGCCAGGGAAGAACAGCCUCGUGUUAACUGCACGGGGUGUGACGGUACCUGAGAAGAAAGACCCGGCUAACUACGUGCCAGCAGCCGCGGUAAUACGUAGGGGGCAAGCGUUGUCCGGAAUUAUUGGGCGUAAAGCGCGCGCAGGCGGUCAUUUAAGUCUGGUGUUUAAUGCAAGGGCUUAACCCUUGUUCGCAUCGGAAACUGGGUGACUUGAGUGUAGGAGAGGAAAGUGGAAUUCCACGUGUAGCGGUGAAAUGCGUAGAGAUGUGGAGGAACACCAGUGGCGAAGGCGACUUUCUGGCCUAUAACUGACGCUGAGGCGCGAAAGCGUGGGGAGCAAA